AUUAUUGGGCGUAAAGGGCUCGCAGGCGGUUUCUUAAGUCUGAUGUGAAAGCCCCCGGCUCAACCGGGGAGGGUCAUUGGAAACUGGGAAACUUGAGUGCAGAAGAGGAGAGUGGAAUUCCACGUGUAGCGGUGAAAUGCGUAGAGAUGUGGAGGAACACCAGUGGCGAAGGCGACUCUCUGGUCUGUAACUGACGCUGAGGAGCGAAAGCGUGGGGAGCGAACAGGAUUAGAUACCCUGGUAGUCCACGCCGUAAACGAUGAGUGCUAAGUGUUAGGGGGUUUCCGCCCCUUAGUGCUGCAGCUAACGCAUUAAGCACUCCGCCUGGGGAGUACGGUCGCAAGACUGAAACUCAAAGGAAUUGACGGGGGCCCGCACAAGCGGUGGAGCAUGUGGUUUAAUUCGAAGCAACGCGAAGAACCUUACCAGGUCUUGACAUCCUCUGACAACCCUAGAGAUAGGGCUUUCCCUUCGGGGACAGAGUGACAGGUGGUGCAUGGUUGUCGUCAGCUCGUGUCGUGAGAUGUUGGGUUAAGUCCCGCAACGAGCGCAACCCUUGAUCUUAGUUGCCAGCAUUCAGUUGGGCACUCUAAGGUGACUGCCGGUGACAAACCGGAGGAAGGUGGGGAUGACGUCAAAUCAUCAUGCCCCUUAUGACCUGGGCUACACACGUGCUACAAUGGACAGAACAAAGGGCUGCAAGACCGCAAGGUUUAGCCAAUCCCAUAAAUCUGUUCUCAGUUCGGAUCGCAGUCUGCAACUCGACUGCGUGAAGCUGGAAUCGCUAGUAAUCGCGGAUC
rnacentral:rRNA from 1 species